rnacentral:rRNA from 1 species
GACGAACGCUGGCGGCGUGCUUAACACAUGCAAGUCGAGCGGAGCGGCGAACGGGUGAGUAACACGUGGGUGACCUGCCCUCCACUCUGGGAUAAGCCCGGGAAACUGGGUCUAAUACCGGAUAGUGGGGGAAGGGCCCGGGGCCUAUCGGCUUGUUGGUGGGGUGAUGGCCUACCAAGGCGGUGACGGGUAGCCGGCCUGAGAGGGCGACCGGCCACACGAGGACUGAGGCACGGACCAGACGCCUACGGGGGGCAGCGGUGGGGAAUAUUGCGCAAUGGGCGGAAGCCUGACGCGGCGACGCCGCGGGGGGGAUGACGGCCUUCGGGUUGUAAACCUCUUUCGCCAGGGACGCGGUACCUGGAGAAGAAGCACCGGCCAACUACGUGCCAGCCGCCGCGGUAAUUC